UACGUAGGUGGCAAGCGUUGUCCGGAUUUACUGGGCGUAAAGAGCGCGCAGGCGGUCGGAUAAGUCGAAUGUGAAAGCCCCCGGCUCAACUGGGGAGGGUCAUUCGAUACUGUUCGACUCGAAGGCAGGAGAGGGAAGUGGAAUUCCCGGUGUAGUGGUGAAAUGCGUAGAUAUCGGGAGGAACACCAGUGGUGAAGGCGACUUCCCGGCCUGUUCUUGACGCUGAGGCGCGAAAGCUAGGGGAGCAAACGGG
rnacentral:rRNA from 1 species